AUACGUAGGUGGCAAGCGUUGUCCGGAUUUAUUGGGCGUAAAGCGAGCGCAGGCGGUCUUUUAAGUCUGAUGUGAAAGCCCCCGGCUUAACCGGGGAGGGUCAUUGGAAACUGGGAGACUUGAGUGCAGAAGAGGAAAGCGGAAUUCCUAGUGUAGCGGUGAAAUGCGUAGAGAUUAGGAAGAACACCAGUGGCGAAGGCGACUUUCUGGACAAUAACUGACGCUGAGGCUCGAAAGCGUGGGGAGCAAACAGGAUUAGAUACCCUGGUAGUCCACGCCGUAAACGAUGAGUGCUAAGUGUUGGAGGGUUUCCGCCCUUCAGUGCUGCAGCAAACGCAUUAAGCACUCCGCCUGGGGAGUACGACCGCAAGGUUGAA
rnacentral:rRNA from 1 species